UAUCUCUGUAGAGUCUGCAUAUCAAUAAGCGGAGGAAAAGAAACUAACAAGGAUUCCCUUAGUAACGGCGAGUGAAGCGGGAAGAGCUCAAAUUUGAAAUCUUCAAGGUUCUACCUUGACGAAUUGUAGUUUAAAGAAGUGUUUUCUGUUAGAUGAGUAGCAAAAGUUCCUUGGAAUGGGACAUCAUAGAGGGUGAGAAUCCCGUAUUUGGUUAUUCAUUCUAGCUUUGUGAUACACUUUCAAAGAGUCGGAUUGUUUGGGAAUGCAGUCCAAAAUGGGUGGUAAAUUUCAUCUAAAGCUAAAUAUUGGCGAGAGACCGAUAGCGAACAAGUACCGUGAGGGAAAGACGAAAAGAACUUUGAAAAGAGAGUUAAACAGUACGUGAAAUUGUCAAAAGGGAAGCGUUUGACACCAGUGUCGUUUUUCCGAAAAUCAAUUACGAAUGGCUUGAUUUUGUGUUGUAUUGACCUUAUCAGCUUUCUUCACUUUUUUCGAGUCCUUUCUUAAUGCACUUUUCGGUUAACAAGUCAACAUCAAUUUCUUUUGUUGUAAAAGAGGUCAUUCGGAAGGUGGCUUUCUUUUCGGAGAAAGUGUUUAUAGCCCUUAUGCCUCUACAAUCGGAGAGAUUGAGGUCUGCAGCGUAGAUCCUUCGGGGUUAGAUACACUUUGUGCUAAGUUGUAGCCUUUCAUAGACAACUUGUUGACUAUGAUCAGUCAUGUAGGCUUACUCGCUUAGUGCUAUUUUACCUACGCUUAGGAUGUUGACGAGACUGUCGAUCUC
rnacentral:rRNA from 1 species